rnacentral:tRNA from 1 species
GCGGGUGUAGCUCAGUGGUAGAGCAGUAGCUUCCCAAGCUACGUGUCGGCAGUUCGAUUCUGCUCACCCGCUCCA